rnacentral:rRNA from 1 species
GAUGAACGCUGGCGGCGUGCCUAAUACAUGCAAGUCGAGCGAACAGACGAGGAGCUUGCUCCUCUGACGUUAGCGGCGGACGGGUGAGUAACACGUGGAUAACCUACCUAUAGACUGGGAUAACUUCGGGAAACCGGAGCUAAUACCGGAGAAUAUAUUGAACCGCAUGGUUCAAUAGUGAAAGACGGUUUUGCUGUCACUUAUAGAUGGAUCCGCGCCGCAUUAGCUAGUUGGUAAGGUAAAGGCUUACCAAGGCAACGAUGCGUAGCCGACCUGAGAGGGUGACCGGCCACACUGGAACAGAGACACGGUCCAGUCUCCUACGGGAGGCAGCAGUAGGGAAUCUUCCGCAAUGGGCGAAAGCCUGACGGAGCAACGCCGCGUGAGUGAUGAAGGUCUUCGGAUCGUAAAACUCUGUUAUUAGGGAAGAACAAAUGUGUAAGUAACUAUGCACGUCUUGACGGUACCUAAUCAGAAAGCCACGGCUAACUACGUG